rnacentral:rRNA from 1 species
AACGAACGCUGGCGGCAGGCCUAACACAUGCAAGUCGAACGGACCCUUCGGGGUUAGUGGCAGACGGGUGAGUAACGCGUGGGAACCUACCUUUAGGUACGGAACAACACAGAGAAAUUUGUGCUAAUACCGUAUGUGCCCUUUGGGGGAAAGAUUUAUCGCCUAAGGAUGGGCCCGCGUUAGAUUAGCUAGUUGGUAAGGUAAUGGCUUACCAAGGCGACGAUCUAUAGCUGGUCUGAGAGGAUGAUCAGCCACACUGGGACUGAGACACGGCCCAGACUCCUACGGGAGGCAGCAGUGAGGAAUAUUGGACAAUGGGCGCAAGCCUGAUCCAGCCAUGCCGCGUGAGUGAUGAAGGCCCUAGGGUCGUAAGCUCUUUCGCCUGUGAAGAUAAUGACGGUAGCAGGUAAAAAACCCGGCUAACUCCG